AAGCGGGAGCGCGGCAACUUCUACUACCAGCGGGCAGACUACGUGCUGGCCAUCAACUCCUACGACAUCGCCCUCAAGGUCGUCGGCUCCAGCUCCAAAGUGGAUUUUAGCACCGAGGAGGAGGCCGAGCUGCUGGACGUGAAGGUGAAAUGUCUCAACAACCUGGCGGCCUCCCAGCUCAAACUGGACCAUUACGAGGCGGCCCUCAAGUCCUGUAACCUGGUCCUGGAGCACCAGCCUGGCAACAUCAAGGCCCUUUUCCGAAAGGGCAAGGUCCUGGCCCAGCAGGGCGAGUACCGCGAGGCCAUCCCCAUCCUCAAGGCGGCUUUGAAGCUGGAGCCUUCCAACAAGGUAGGU